GACGAACGCUGGCGGCGUGCUUAACACAUGCAAGUCGAACGGAAAGGCCCGGCGUUUGUGGGGUGCUCGAGAGGCGAGCGGGUGAGUAAAACGUGAGUAAACUGUACUUGACUGUGGGAGAACAUCAGGAAACUGGGGCUAAUACCGGAUAGGAGAUACUGCAGCACGGGGGGGGUUGGAAAGUUUCGGCGGUGGGGGCUGGACUCGCGGCUUAUCAGCUGGAUGGUGGGGUAGGGGAUGACCAAGGCUUUGACGGGUAGGCGGCCUGGGAGGGUGAACGGCCACCUUGCUACUGCGAUACGGCCCAGACUCCUACGUGAGGCAGCAGUGGGGAAUAUUGCACAAUGGGCGGAAGCCUGAUGCAGCAGCGCCGCGUGCGUGAUGACGUCCUUCGAGUUGUAAACCGCUUUGGACUUUGACGAAGCCUGAGUGACGGUACUGAGUAAGAAAGCACCGGCUAACUACGUG
rnacentral:rRNA from 1 species